rnacentral:misc_RNA from 1 species
GCAAAAGCUUUGAAGAUUGAGCUCUUAGUCAACAAUUUGACUAGGGAGAUCCUACCAGAGCUUGCAAACCUCACUUUCUUACUGGAAGUUGAUAUAUCUUUGAAUCAAAUAUAAGGGAAACUACUUGAGGGAAUUAGAAAUUGAAUAAUUUGAAGGUGUUUCAGUUAUAUGAUAACAACUUCUCCAAAGAACUACUUAUAAUGCCCUAAGUUUAGGUACCAUGGGUGAAAUUUAUCCAAAUGAAUCACAAAUUUGUUGAUCCACAAUAUUACUUGUACGAAAAAGCAUAAGAGAUGGAAAGAAACAUAAUGGACCAAACAAUUAUUAGCGGUCUAUAUUUAGAGCAAUUCCCAAGAUUCCCCCCUUCCCUACUUUUCACUCUUUUAGUAU